rnacentral:rRNA from 1 species
AUUGAACGCUGGCGGCAUGCCUUACACAUGCAAGUCGAACGGUAACAGGUCUUCGGAUGCUGACGAGUGGCGAACGGGUGAGUAAUACAUCGGAACGUGCCUAGUAGUGGGGGAUAACUACUCGAAAGAGUGGCUAAUACCGCAUGAGAUCUACGGAUGAAAGCAGGGGAUCGCAAGACCUUGUGCUACUAGAGCGGCCGAUGGCAGAUUAGGUAGUUGGUGGGAUAAAAGCUUACCAAGCCGACGAUCUGUAGCUGGUCUGAGAGGACGAUCAGCCGCACUGGGGCUGAGACACGGCCCAGACUCCUACGGGAGGCAGCAGUGGGGAAUUUUGGACAAUGGGCGCAAGCCUGAUCCAGCAAUGCCGCGUGCAGGAUGAAGGCCUUCGGGUUGUAAACUGCUUUUGUACGGAACGAAAAGCCCCGGGUUAAUACCCUGGGGUCAUGACGGUACCGUAAGAAUAAGCACCGGCUAACUACGUGCCAGCAGCCGCCGCCG